GCCACGAUAGCUCAGAUGGUAGAGCAGCGGUUUCGUAAACCGCAGGUCGUCGGUUCGAGCCCGACUCGUGGCUCCA
rnacentral:tRNA from 1 species